rnacentral:rRNA from 1 species
AUGAACGCUGGCGGCGUGCUUAACACAUGCAAGUCGCACGAAGCACUUUAUUUGAUUUCCUUCGGGACUGAUUAUUUUGUGACUGAGUGGCGGACGGGUGAGUAACGCGUGGGUAACCUGCCUUGUACAGGGGGAUAACAGUUGGAAACGGCUGCUAAUACCGCAUAAGCGCACAGCAUCGCAUGAUGCAGUGUGAAAAACUCCGGUGGUAUAAGAUGGACCCGCGUUGGAUUAGCUAGUUGGUGAGGUAACGGCCCACCAAGGCGACGAUCCAUAGCCGACCUGAGAGGGUGACCGGCCACAUUGGGACUGAGACACGGCCCAAACUCCUACGGGAGGCAGCAGUGGGGAAUAUUGCACAAUGGGCGAAAGCCUGAUGCAGCGACGCCGCGUGAGCGAAGAAGUAUUUCGGUAUGUAAAGCUCUAUCAGCAGGGAAGAUAAUGACGGUACCUGACUAAGAAGCACCGGCUAAUACGUG